rnacentral:rRNA from 1 species
UACGAAGGGAGCUAGCGUUGUUCGGAAUCACUGGGCGUAAAGCGUGCGCAGGCGGCUAUGCAAGACAGAUGUGAAAUCCCCGGGCUCAACCUGGGAACUGCAUUUGUGACUGCAUGGCUAGAGUACGGUAGAGGGGGAUGGAAUUCCGCGUGUAGCAGUGAAAUGCGUAGAUAUGCGGAGGAACACCGAUGGCGAAGGCAAUCCCCUGGACCUGUACUGACGCUCAUGCACGAAAGCGUGGGGAGCAAACAGG